GGACACGUCCAUGUCUCCCAGCCCAAGGUGCAGUGCUGCAUCUCUGGUCAAUUGGGAGUCUGAGAUGAAGCACUGUAGCUCGGGAAGGGAGGAACUGCGCACCCUG
rnacentral:pre_miRNA from 13 species